rnacentral:pre_miRNA from 1 species
UGGACAGAUUAUUGAAUUCGACUGUAUUCACGGCGUGAAACAAGGGAUUACACUUUUUUAAACGGAAAGUGAACUAAUUAACAUAAUAGACUCCU